CUGUUAGGAACCAGGCCGCACAGCAGGAGUUUUUUGCCUAGAUGAGAGACAGAGAAAGAGAGAGAGAGAAAAAAUCACUCCACCUGUCCUGCAGGGGAGGCUGUUGGCAAAGUCUUCGUGUAGUGUAAAUCAUCGAAUCGAACGUUUCCUGCCAUUACUGACAUAUGUUUACGGAGUGCCUGUUGGUUCUCAUCCAGGAUCCCACAUUGCAUUUAGCAGUCG